CAACAAGAGAUUAGGACGGAGACCAAGUUUCAAGCUUUCAUUUGAUUGAACGAUGCUGUGAUAAUCCACAAAAAACAUGGUGGCAACAAGAUCGGUGGGAGGCACUAUUCCCCAGAUUCAGGGUCGGAGAAUGCCUGUCCAAAUCACAACUAUUACCAGUCUUUCUCAUCGUUAGCAUCACCAUCUAUUCCAAGGCAGCAGCAGAAGGGGGUGUUCGUUUGCAGAGCUGAAGCAUCGGCGACGGCGCUGGAGCAGAGUGGAGGGGGGAAGAUGGUGGUAGAGCUGGUGGGGGCGUUCAAUCAAUUGACAUAGGAGAUCAACGUGUUAUCCAGCAGCUCCUCUCGUUUGCUCUUCAAGUCUCUCAAGCUGUCCAUUCCCAUGUUGCAGGCCUUGCCUCAUGCUCCUGAUGGCCGCCCUCGGCUCUCUAAGGCCUUGUCUCUCGCUCUACUUCAUGCCCAUCUCCAGGUGGAAUUUAUGCGUAAUAGCAAAGCAAGGAUGGCCAGAGCCAGUUCCCAACUUGCUUGAAAGGCAAUGACCAAACCAGUGACGGCAGUGACCUACUCUUGAGCGGAACCAGCUAGUCCGCGACCACCCUUCUUACUGAAACUGCAUCCGUUGACAGCCUAGUUCUGAUUGCACCACUUGAGUGUUGAGGCUCAUUGAACCAGCCUAUAUCCAUGUUCACUUUCUCAUAGCACAUCGAACGCACCUACCGUAUCAACUUACAGCCGGCAAUGGCAAAUAAGUACGUGCUCACAAGUAACACAACAACAAAUAUCCUUGUUGAGCUCAUGAUGUGACUCGGAGAUAGUUUUGAUUAUGCCGGAAAGAACAGUGCCAAAAAUCAGCAAUAUUACACUGUUGGCCACGGCCAGUACAGCUCCCAAGAGCAACUCUGGUAUCUCCAAGCAGUUAAGAUUUGAGAGUAAUAAUUGGGACUUGUGGAUGCUGUUUGUCGAAGGUUUCUGGUAGUGGUUUCAGGCUAGACGAAAGGGAGCCAAUAUUGAUUGGGGACCAAUAUCUGAAGAACCAUGAACUUUUAUAUUUCGUUUCAUCUCUUUGCCGUUUUCUUGCAACCUUAGGAGCCGAGUGUACAAUCCAUUACAGUUCUUGAGUAGCUCUGCUUGUGAACCUGACUGUUUAAUCCAUUCACAGGUUUAAAAAGACGGCACUGGCACUAAAACUGACCUCUUUCGAUGAUUUUUCCAUGGUGAAUGACUGCUAUGAAAUCUGCAUUCCUUAUGGUGCUCAAGUGAUUGAUCCAAGGAAUACCCUUCUGUCAAAGACUAAGUCUUUAAGAACGAUGAACCAAUGUCGAUUUUGAGAAAGUGUUUGAUAGAACGUUUGCAGGCUGCUGUUGAUGGGGAACUGAAGCAAGAUCAGAUGAUGAAGGGGUUUUCAUUUUCAGAUGUAUGGAAUUCGAUGAAGUAUAUGACCCUCAUACAAUUAAGAACCGUAUAGAAUGAUUCAUCAUAUUGGGAUACUGACAGUGGAGAAGACAACAUGCUCGAGGGCGAUGACCGGUACACUAUAACCAUGGUGGAGGAGAAGCUCGAAGAGAACCGGCUGAAAACCACAACAAAAUCAUGGAAACCAAAGUACGGAACGAUACAUAAGAAGUUUCAGGAGAGCUUUUGAUAUGCAAGAGAUUGUGAUUUGGAACCUCAAAAGCUCACAUGCAAUAUCUGUGCCAUGCUCAUACACUAAUAAAAGAUCAAAGUUUCCAAUUUACUGUGUUCCAAAAUACAAAAUCGAUAAGUUAAAAGUAAAGAUACAUU